GCCUGGGUGGCUUAGUCAGUUGAGCAUUUGACUUCGGCUCAGGUCAUGAUCUCACAGUUCGUGGGUUCGAGUCCCGCGUCAGGUU
rnacentral:tRNA from 1 species